rfam:Camelus ferus unplaced genomic scaffold scaffold1904, whole genome shotgun sequence.
GAGGCUAUAGCUCAGUGGUAGAGCACGUGCUUGAUGUGCACAAGGGCCUGGGUUCGAUCCCUGGUGCCUCC